rnacentral:misc_RNA from 1 species
GAUGAAGAACGCAGCGAAAUGCGAUACUUGGUGUGAAUUGCAGAAUCCCGUGAACCAUCGAGUUUUUGAACGCAAGUUGCGCCUCAAGCCAUUAGGUUGAGGGCACGUCUGCCUGGGCGUCACAUAUCGUUGCCUGAUGCCAGUUUCCUCGUGAUGGGUGACUGUGCAGGGCGAAUGAUGGCUUCCCGUGAGCAUUGUUGCCUCAUGGUUGGUUGAAAAUUGAGUCCUUGGUAGGGAGCGCCGUGAUAGAUGGUGGUUGAGUGACGAACGAGACCCAAUCAUGUGAGACCCCUACCGAAUUUGGCCUUCAUGACCCACAUGCGUCUUUGGAACGCUCAUGACGAGACCUCAGGUCAGGCGGGGCUACCCGCUGAGUUUAAGCAUAUCAAUAAGCGGAGGA